UACGUAGGGUGCGAGCGUUGUCCGGAAUUACUGGGCGUAAAGAGCUCGUAGGUGGUUUGUCGCGUUGUUCGUGAAAACUCACAGCUUAACUGUGGGCGUGCGGGCGAUACGGGCAGACUGGAGUACUGCAGGGGAGACUGGAAUUCCUGGUGUAGCGGUGGAAUGCGCAGAUAUCAGGAGGAACACCGGUGGCGAAGGCGGGUCUCUGGGCCGAUACUGACACUGAGGAGCGAAAGCGUGGGGAGCGAACAGG
rnacentral:rRNA from 1 species